rnacentral:rRNA from 1 species
GACGAACGCUGGCGGCGUGCUUAACACAUGCAAGUCGAACGGAGUGGCGAACGGGUGAGUAACACGUGGGUGAUCUGCCUUGCACUUCGGGAUAAGCUUGGGAAACUGGGUCUAAUACCGGAUAGUGCAAGAUGAGCUCGCGGCCUAUCAGCUUGUUGGUGGGGUAAUGGCCUACCAAGGCGUCGACGGGUAGCCGGCCUGAGAGGGUGUACGGCCACAUUGGUGCUGUGCUCCGGCCCCGGCUCCUGCGGGCGGCCGACGUGGGGAAUAUUGACCCAUGGGUGGAAGCCUGAUGCAGCGCCGCCGCGUGGGGGAUGAAGGCCUUCGGGUUGUAAACUCCUUUCGACAGGGACGCGGUACCUGUAUAAGAAGCACCGGCUAACUACGUGCCAGCAGCCGCGGUAAUUC